GCCGGGCGUGGUGGCACACGCCUGUAGUCCUAGCUACUCAGCAGGUUGAGGUGGGAGGAUCGCUUGAGCCCAGGAGUUCUGGACUACAAUGUGCUAUGACGAUCGGGUGUCCGCACUAAAUUAGGCAUCCAUAUGGUGACCUUUCCGAAGCGGGGACCACCAGGUUGCCUAAGGAGGGGUGAACCUGACCAGAUCGGAAACAGACCAGGUCAAAACACGCAUGCUGAUCAGUAAUGGGAUCACACCUGUGAACAGCCACUGGACUCCAGCCUAGGCAACAAAGCAAGACGUUGUCUCUU
ensembl:misc_RNA Metazoa_SRP Metazoan signal recognition particle RNA